rnacentral:rRNA from 1 species
CAGCGUGCUUAACACAUGCAAGUCGAACGGAAAGGCCCUUCGGGGUACUCGAGUGGCGAACGGGUGAGUAACACGUGGGUGAUCUGCCCUGCACUUUGGGAUAAGCCUGGGAAACUGGGUCUAAUACCGAAUAGGACUACGCGAUGCAUGUCGUGUGGUGGAAAGCUUUUGCGGUGUGGGAUGGGCCCGCGGCCUAUCAGCUUGUUGGUGAGGUUACGGCUCACCAAGGCGACGACGGGUAGCCGGCCUGAGAGGGUGACCGGCCACACUGGGACUGAGAUACGGCCCAGACUCCUACGGGAGGCAGCAGUGGGGAAUAUUGCACAAUGGGCGCAAGCCUGAUGCAGCGACGCCGCGUGAGGGAUGACGGCCUUCGGGUUGUAAACCUCUUUCGCCAGGGACGAAGCGCAAGUGACGGUACCUGGAGAAGAAGGACCGGCCAACUACGUGCCAGCAGCCGCGGUAAUACGUAGGGUCCGAGCGUUGUCCGGAAUUACUGGGCGUAAAGAGCUCGUAGGUGGUUUGUCGCGUUGUUCGUGAAAACUCACAGCUCAACUGUGGGCGUGCGG